rnacentral:lncRNA from 1 species
GCGAUUGGGUAAGUAUUUCCAGUGGAAAACAUUCAGUUGUGCCUGGCUUCUUUUGAUGGUGAAUUAAUGCAGAGUACCAUACUCUGUUUUCUGAACCGACUCUGUAAUUCACUGUAAGAAUCAUGUAAAAAUGUAAUUUUUCUGACACCUGUUCCGAGGGUCAGGGAAAUCCGGCAUUGUUUUGUCAUAUAAAGGAAAUAAAUGACUUUUUUCUUUUUGGUGUAGAAUUCUCUCUUCGGACCAGAGGGAAAAGUUCCCCGUCUUUUUCAUUUGUGUCCGCAAGUGAGGGGAAUUAUUUCUGUCAUUGAACUUCGACAAUAAAAUUUCCUUUAAAAAAAUGUUCUAUUUAACUUUUCCUUUUGGUUGAGUAAUUAAAAAAUAGUAGAGAAUUUUAAUGGAAAAACUCUGCAACUGAACUCUACAAAAUAGAAGAUUUUCAUUAAUAAAUUAUACCUAAUUAUAGACUAAGUUGUAAGUAGUAAUAAGCUCGUUUGAAAAAUAUAAAAUUUCCAACAUUAUGAACUAUUACUAAAAAGAAUUGGUAACUCUAAUCAUAUUCUUGUUUUAUUUUAUUCAAAAUACUCUGUUAUAUAUAUAUAUAUAUAUAUAUAUAUAUAUAUGUGGGACAAUGAAAUACCAAAUGAUACUGAAGAUCCAAAGGCUGUAGAAAAGGCUCCUGAAGGAACACCUACUGGUGGUGGCUUGUUUGUGGUUAUCGUACAUGAAGCUCAAGACGUGGAAGGAAAGCAUCAUACAAAUCCUUAUGUGAGAUUACUUUUCAGAGGGGAGGAGAGAAAAACUAAGGUAAGCUUGAAGCAGAACCCUUUUAAGAAUGAAGUUUACCUUAACAGAGUUGCAAUUUUUUAACAUUUGCUAGUGCAGGCAGACUCAGGUUCUACAUGAGUAGCUUCUUUUAGGAAAUAAGUUGCUGAAACCUCAAAGUAUUUUAAUACAUACGAUGAUGAUUUAACUUUUUUAAAGUUCGGAUGAUUAAAAAAACUGCUACAUAUUGUCAGCCCAUUAAUUCUUGUAUUCCACAUCGAUACAGCUUGUGAAGAAAAACAGAGAUCCAAGAUGGGAGGAGGAUUUUCAGUUCAUGCUAGAGGAGCCACCCACAAAUGAUAAACUUCAUGUGGAAGUUUGUAGUGCCUCCACAAGGAUGGGUCUUCUCCAUCCCAAGGUACGCAAGCCAUUGCCUUUUCUAUCAGAUUUUGCCUCGGUAUAAUCAUAAGAUUGUAGUAGAUCCAGCAAUUGAACCUACUUUGAAGUUAAAACUGGUUUCUAUUAACAAAAAUUUUUGAAAUAAUAUUUUUUAUUUUUUCAACUCAACGGGUUGAGUUCUUCUACUUGUGACUUGGAGCUCAUGGGUUCGAACCAUAGAAAAUCAGUGGAAAAAUUGCUUAUAUCUUCCAGAACCCUACAAACUUGGGAACUGGGUCGUCUUUAUUCAGCUUUCAAAGUUUUCUUAUACUUUUUUAUUUUUUCCUCCUUGAAUGAUAAUUUCCGACAGGAAACUUUGGGUUAUGUGGAUAUAAACCUAGCUGAUGUGGUUAACAACAAGAGAAUCAACGAGAAGUAUCAUCUUAUCGACUCGAGGAAUGGUCGGGUUCAAAUAGAAUUACAGUGGAGAACUUCUUAAAAAAAAUGUUGCACUUGGGUAAGUAUUUUACAGUGGAGAACUUCGUAAAAAAAAAAAAUGCUGCGAUUGGGUAAGUAUUUCCAGUGGAAAACAUUCAGUUGUGCCUGGCUUCUUUUGAUGGUGAAUUAAUGCAGAGUACCAUACUCUGUUUUCUGAACCGACUCUGUAAUUCACUGUAAGAAUCAUGUAAAAAUGUAAUUUUUCUGACACCUGUUCCGAGGGUCAGGGAAAUCCGGCAUUGUUUUGUCAUAUAAAGGAAAUAAAUGACUUUUUUCUUUUUGGUGUAGAAUUCUCUCUUCGGACCAGAGGGAAAAGUUCCCCGUCUUUUUCAUUUGUGUCCGCAAGUGAGGGGAAUUAUUUCUGUCAUUGAACUUCGACAAUAAAAUUUCCUUUAAAAAAAUGUUCUAUUUAACUUUUCCUUUUGGUUGAGUAAUUAAAAAAUAGUAGAGAAUUUUAAUGGAAAAAC